CAAUGUCAACGGCCGCGGGAUUGGUAAAAAAACGUCUUCUUUGUCUAUGCGGAACAACCCCACCACAUGUCUUCUCCCUUCUCCUUCCGCCAACGAAGGCGACCUUCUUCUUCGGCCAACGAAGGCUUCCUCCCUCUCCCGCAAACGACGAUAGACGGGGAAUAGGUAGCUUGGGUUCGUGGUCAGUUAGACUUCCCCUUCUUUUCAGAGAUUUCGAGACUCAGAGUUCGAUCAGAGAUCCAGAUGGUUCGUCUCCAGCACCCAGACAUUCACCAUCGACAAUCUUCAAGGCUUCCCCUCUUUCUCCCCCUUGCUUCCUUGCUUAUCUCCGCUCUUCUCUUCAUUGACCCAGUUUGUUUGUGAAGGUAUGAUUCCUUUAGUUUUUCCAGUUUCUAAUUUCACUUACUUUGUUUUAUCGUGAUAAAAUAUUUGUCUUUUACUCAUGCAAUGAAAUUCUAUUCACGACUUAUAAUUGUGCAGGGAAGUUCACUUAAUUUCACUCGGUUUAAUGCACUGCUGAUUGGCACUGUCUGCACAGGGUAAAGUAUCAUUAAGGGACUGAAACUGUUUUCACAGGGUAAAAUAUCAUGUGAAGUUUAUUUGAGCACAAGCAACCAGCUAGUCGUCCGUCAGAAUUGCUACCCUCUGGUAAGGAAACCUGUUCUGUCUAUCAUACUUUGAAGCAUUGGCUUGGUUUCAUCCAGUAAUUCAAUGCAAGAUGAGAAUUAAUGUUCUUUGUCUUAUGUUUUGUCAUUUUUGUCGAUAGUGAAUCCAACCUCACACUGGAUUCUGGAUAAAUGAAAGUUGUGAACUUGGCUCCUCUCAGUUGCAUACAUACACGAGUUUGAUGGUAAUUAUCUUACGAGAAUGUGAUACCUUGAUUCUCUUGAUAUGAUGUUAAGUCAAUAUAGAUUAAUGCUCAAUCAGGGUGGUUUAAUGGGUGCAUUAGUUUAAUAUUACAUCAGGGCUGCUACUGCAACAUAAUUUUAGUUUUUCCAUCAGGGUUCUGCAUAUACUGAAUCAACCACGAGGAAAUGUAUUUCGAGAAAUCGCUUCCUAACUCCUUACUGGCAAUCGACACGAUUGACGUUUCUUUCCUGCAGUGAUCCUGGAGUAAUAUAUGCCACAAAGCUCCAACAUUGUCAAAAAGUGACUAAAAUCUGAGAAAUCAGCUUCUGUGAUCUUGGACUUUUAUGCUUUUAGUUCCCAUCAAAUUUCUUAGAUUUGCACUUUGCAGUUAGUUCGAAGAGCUGGCUUCCAGGAUGAAUCUGCCAGGAUUUAAAGCGCUGGCUUCUGUAAACUACAGUGCAGCUAUUCAUCACCGUCCUUCAAGCUAAGAGCUGAUUCAGUGGCUCAUAUGCAAAGCGCACAUACAAGUGGAAGUACACUUCAGAGUUCAGAGUUGAUUUAGUAACUUGGAAUGAAACUUUUUUGCUUCAAUAUAGAUUCAACGGUAUGGGUUACCUCCUCGAUUCUUCUUUAACUGUGACCAAGGUUGUACGUCAGAGUUCAGAGCCUGUUUUCUGCUAAUUGCUCUCUAAGCUCAUCAGCAUCAAGAACUGACAUUUUUCUGUGAGCCGGAUAUAUAAAAUUCCCUAAUCUGACUAUCUGAGUAAUGUUCUUCUAAUCAUUUCAUUUCAGCCUUUGUUAGUCGUAAGCAUGUUACGAGAACUAAUUUUGUUGGGCAGCAUGAAAUGAAUCCACUUUGACUGCAUGCCUUUGCAGCACACGAAUACAAGUUAUGAAAGUGUUUAUGAUUGAAUAGUAA
rnacentral:lncRNA from 1 species